AGUUUUGAGCUAAAUAUAUUUAUAAUAUUAGUUAUUUAUGAAGGUGUUGUAAAAUCUUUAUUUAAAAUUAUAUUUAGGGGUGAUAGGCCUUUCAAAAACUAAGAUAUCUUGAAUCUAAUUAAAAGUAUGUAGUACAAUUAACACAACUAUUAAGUGAUUAGGCUUUAUAGAAUUAUUAACUUAUAAGAUUUUACUUACUAUAAUUUAAUAAUUAAGUAUAUAAAUAUAUUAAUAUUCAUAUAUUAUAGUUUAUAAAAGAGUAAUUAGAUAGAUUUAAGUUCAUAUUUCUUAUAAUAAUGUUAAUAUUAGUAUUAAGUUUAUAUUUAUAUGAUGAACUCGGCAAAAAUACUUCUCAACUGUUUAUCAAAAACAUAACUAUGUGAAUGAAUACAUAGCGGUUUCUGCUCAA
rnacentral:rRNA from 1 species